CUGGGGCACAGAGAAGGCGCCCACAACAUCCCAAUGGAGAAUCGCACUGCCGGUGGUCAUGAGAUAGACUGGGGCACAAAGCAGGCGCCCACAACAUCCCAAUGGAGGAUCACACCGCCAGUGGUCAUGAGACAGAUGGGAUUCUGCAGAGGUGCUUAGGCCACUUCCCACGGGGCCCCUGCCAAUGACUUUGCAAUUACCUUUCAUGAACAUGUGGAGAAGAGCCUAUCGUUGUAAGUCCCGUUUCCAAAGAGACUUGAACUAGUAGCACCCAAAGGCAGCUGAUGGGAUAGGAAAGGCAUCAGAAUUUUUAAAGUUGGGUGAGCCUGGGUUCAGAUCUCAGAGUCACAUUGUCACUUGCCCUCCCUAAGUUUCACAGUUUCUCAUCUGCAAAGCAGAGCGGGUGAAAGCACACCUCUGCAUUUGACCUUCACAGUAGACCAGCAUGUGCAUCCUGCAUUCCUGUCCACACUGUCGGGAAACACAUUUAUGGAGAUGAUUAAAUGUGAAAAUACAGCUGUAACCAGAGGUCAGAGGCCAGAAUCCAGUUCAUUCUGCCUCCACAGCCCAUGCUCUUCCAGCCACACCCUCAAGCAUAGCCAACGUGUCCCUGGAUGACAGGCCUUCUUUCCAGCCUCCCCAAAAAUCUCAAAAGGCUGAGCCUGUCAUCUCUGAACUACAGCAGCCUGGCCAGGUUAAAGGGCAUCCCCUGGUCCAAUGCCUGACUUUCAGCAAGAGCUUUAACCAGUAACUGGGACCCAGAGUCAAACACAAUGGCCUGGAAGUUUCCCAAACCUCAGAUAGGACAACAGUUGGUGCACGUGGGUCCUCCAGAUCCCGUGUGACCCUGGGAAGACUGCCCCUCAUCAAGCCGCAACUUCUCCCAUCUCAGUCCCUCCAUAUCUCGGGAACUCCCCUUGGUCCUCAUAUCCUCUCCCUUCCAUGGCAGGAAGCCCAUCUCCACUUGCACCAAAGUGACGCCAGAGCCUCACGUGCUCCUGGCCAGUCCUCUCUCCGUCCAUCUUACCACCACCAAGUCAGCACUGUUUGCACCUCUGCAAGUGGGUAAAUACCCAUUCUAAGAAGGACACUGUCUUAAG
rnacentral:lncRNA from 1 species